rnacentral:rRNA from 1 species
UAAAAUUUAUAAAAUUAGGUAGUAAAGAAAUUUCCGAAACCUAAAGAAUUUGGCGGUAUUUUAAAUAAUUGGAGGAACCUGUUAUUUAAUUGACAAUCCACAACAUAUCUUCCCUAAAUUUUAUUUGUAUAUCGUCGUUUUGAUAAUAUUUAAAAAUUAUAAUCAAUCCCAAUAAACUUUUUAAAAUCAGAUCAAGGUGCAGUAUAUUUAGGUUAUAAUGGGUUACAAUAUAUUUAUAUAUAAUGGAUAUAAAUUUGAAAUUAUAUUGAAAGUGGAUUCAAAAGUAAUAUUAAAUUAAAAUGUUAAUUUGAUUAAUAAUUUAAAAUAUGC